rnacentral:rRNA from 1 species
CCUACGGGUGGCUGCAGUGGGGAAUAUUGGACAAUGGGCGAAAGCCUGAUCCAGCCAUGCCGCGUGUGUGAAGAAGGCCUUCGGGUUGUAAAGCACUUUCAGUGGGGAAGAAAGCCUUGGGGCUAAUACCCUCGAGGAAGGACAUCACCCACAGAAGAAGCACCGGCUAACUCCGUGCCAGCAGCCGCGGUAAUACGGAGGGUGCGAGCGUUAAUCGGAAUUACUGGGCGUAAAGCGCGCGUAGGCGGUCUGAUAAGCCGGUUGUGAAAGCCCCGGGCUCAACCUGGGAACGGCAUCCGGAACUGUCAGGCUAGAGUGCAGGAGAGGAAGGUAGAAUUCCCUGUGUAGCGGUGAAAUGCGUAGAGAUCGGGAGGAAUACCAGUGGCGAAGGCGGCCUUCUGGACUGAAACUGACGCUGAGGUGCGAAAGCGUGGGUAGCAAACAGGAUUAGAUACCCCAGUAGUC